UACGGUCAUAUCACGUUGAAGCACUGGUUCUCGUACGACCAUCGAAGUUAAGUAACGUCGAAUCUGGUCAGUUCCUAGAUGGGUGACCGCUUAGGAAUACCAGGU